GUGAACGCUGGCGGUAGGCCUAACACAUGCAAGUCGAACGGCAGCACAGUAAGAGCUUGCUCUUACGGGUGGCGAGUGGCGGACGGGUGAGGAAUACAUCGGAAUCUACUUUUUCGUGGGGGAUAACGUAGGGAAACUUACGCUAAUACCGCAUACGACCUACGGGUGAAAGCAGGGGAUCUUCGGACCUUGCGCGAUUGAAUGAGCCGAUGUCGGAUUAGCUAGUUGGCGGGGUAAAGGCCCACCAAGGCGACGAUCCGUAGCUGGUCUGAGAGGAUGAUCAGCCACACUGGAACUGAGACACGGUCCAGACUCCUACGGGAGGCAGCAGUGGGGAAUAUUGGACAAUGGGCCCAACCCUGAUCCAGCCAUACCGCGUGGGUGAAGAAGGCCUUCGGGUUGUAAAGCCCUUUUGUUGGGAAAGAAAAGCAGCAGGUUAAUACCCCGCUGUUCUGACGGUACCCAAAGAAUAAGCACCGGCUAACUUCGUG
rnacentral:rRNA from 1 species